rnacentral:rRNA from 1 species
UACGUAGGAUCCGAGCGUUGUCCGGAUUUACUGGGUGUAAAGGGUGCGCAGGCGGAGUGGUAAGUCAGAGGUGAAAUCUCGUCGCUCAACGACGAAACUGCCUUUGAUACUAUCAUUCUUGAGUUCGGUAGAGAUCUGUGGAAUUCCGAGUGUAGCAGUGAAAUGUGUAGAUAUUCGGAAGAACACCAGUGGCGAAGGCAGCAGAUUGGGCCGAUACUGACGCUCAGGCACGAAAGCAUGGGGAUCAAACAGG